UUGCUGGACCCAGCGCUGGCUGGACACGCUGAAUGUAAAUCUGGCUGCAAACAACAUCUCUCUCUUUCUCUGUAUGGCUGUGAAUCCAGCGAGGUGAGCUUGGCUCAGGAGGAGCACUGUCUGGGUUUGCGCGCAGUUUGCAGACACAUUUGCGAGGAAGCCGUGCUGGAAUAUAUUCAGGGGUGAAGAACCGAAGGAGAAAGGGCGAAACCCUCCUACAGCCUGCGCUUUCUUCUGACUCUCUCUCUCUCUCUCUAUCUCUAUCUCUGGACGCAAAGAUUUGGGCAAAAUGGUUUUCCCGAAAUCUCAGUGACUGCGAUGUCAGCACCUCUCUCUCACCUACCGCUCGUGGAGCACAGACUGAAGAAAUAAUAAUAAAAUAAAAAAAAACACACGUUAGUCGGGUCAGGUGGUUUUCUCAAGAGGGAGAGAGAGGAAGAGAAAGAGAGCAGCCGUUCAUUUACGGCGCACUGGAUUCAAGUAACACUCCCCCCUGGCAGCUGAAGAUGAUGUUACUAUGGAAACAGUUUUUGCUGCUAUCAAUCAUGGAAUAUCUUGCAGAGUGUGUGGAUUAUAAGUCUUUCAAUGGGCCGAAAUGGCGAAUGGAGCCCAGCGAUCUGACAGUGGGCUCACUGGAGGAAGAGGCUACAUUGACCUGCGACGCAAAGGGCAGUCCUCCCCCUCAGUACAGGUA